rnacentral:lncRNA from 1 species
GGGAAUCGCGAAAGUUCGAUGACGCUGUCUUACGGGAGGGAGGUGACAGAGUGUUGCACCCAGGAAUUGGACAACAUCAAUGAUCCUGCUCUUUAGGAGAGAAGUGAUGCACCGGCUUGUGGAGAGGGGAAUCCUCGAUAGAGCUCCUGUGAUGGGAACCUGCAGCUUAUUCAGGUGUGGAGGACCACGGGAUAGAGCAGAACUGUCAAACCAAGUACCUUGGCAGAAGUGAUACACGUUGGACAGGCACCACGCACAUAGUAAGAUCGAUGUUCUGUCGGUUCUGGAUCCUCAACCGUAGUAAAGGCUCAACCAGACGCUUAGCAACUUAAGUUCCUGCGGCUGUGCUCUACAAGUAACCGGCUCCGACGUGCUGAACAUCGACAGCUGCUCGUCGACCUUCGGGUUUAGACGGCGAUGGCGAGGCGCAUCGAUACGGCACAACGGCGCGAAGCCUGGUGGUACCGCAGUGGUGCUGGUACUGGUACUGCAGUGGUCGUCAGGUCCCGGUUCGUGUGCGGACUUGGCCUCGAGUUCCGACCGAGGACCCAACGCAUGCUGACGUCCUCGCAUUGCGUUCAUCCAGCGUGCUUAGGCUUGACAUGCGCGCACGGGAUACAACGCAUACCGCAUGCUGUCUUUUCUGUGGUGUAGCGCAAACUGAUAAUUCCGCGCGGCCGCUGUUUUCUUUGUCCGCGGUGCUCGCUUUAUUUGAAUUUCCUGAAUACACGGCCGCAGACAUC